GACGAACGCUGGCGGCGUGCCUAAUACACGCAAGUUGAGCGAUGAAGAUUGGUGCUUGCACCAAUUUGAAGAGCAGCGAACGGGUGAGUAACGCGUGGGGAAUCUGCCUUUGAGCGGGGGACAACAUUUGGAAACGAAUGCUAAUACCGCAUAACAACUUUAAACAUAAGUUUUAAGUUUGAAAGAUGCAAUUGCAUCACUCAAAGAUGAUCCCGCGUUGUAUUAGCUAGUUGGUGAGGUAAAGGCUCACCAAGGCGAUGAUACAUAGCCGACCUGAGAGGGUGAUCGGCCACAUUGGGACUGAGACACGGCCCAAACUCCUACGGGAGGCAGCAGUAGGGAAUCUUCGGCAAUGGACGAAAGUCUGACCGAGCAACGCCGCGUGAGUGAAGAAGGUUUUCGGAUCGUAAAACUCUGUUGGUAGAGAAGAACGUUGGUGAGAGUGGAAAGCUCAUCAAGUGACGGUAACUACCCAGAAAGGGACGGCUAACUACGUG
rnacentral:rRNA from 1 species